rnacentral:rRNA from 1 species
GCGUAACACGUGAGCAACCUAUCCCGAAGACCGGGAUAACACCGGGAAACCGGUGCUAAUACUGGAUGCCCCCACCGGGUCGCAUGGCCUGGUGAGGAAAGGAAUUUCGCUUUGGGAGGGGCUCGCGGCCUAUCAGCUUGUUGGUGGGGUAACGGCUCACCAAGGCCACGACGGGUAGCUGGUCUGAGAGGACGACCAGCCACACUGGGACUGAGACACGGCCCAGACUCCUACGGGAGGCAGCAGUAGGGAAUCUUGCGCAAUGGGCGAAAGCCUGACGCAGCAACGCCGCGUGGGGGAUUAAGGCCUUCGGGUUGUAAACCCCUUUCAGCAGGGACGAAACUGACGGUACCUGCAGAAGAAGCCCCGGCCAACUACGUGCCAGCAGCCGCGGUAAUACGUAGGGGGCGAGCGUUGUCCGGAUUCAUUGGGCGUAAAGAGCUCGUAGGCGGCUUGGCAAGUCGGGUGUGAAACCUCCAGGCUCAACCUGGAGCGGCCACUCGAUACUGCCAUGGCUAGAGUCCGGUAGGGGACCACGGAACUCCUGGUGUAGCGGUGAAAUGC